CUCUCUCUCUCUCUCUCUCUCGUUCAACCCCUUUAUUUGCUAUCCCUUUGCACUCACAACCCUGAUCGGUCCCGGCCAGUUAGGGCACCAACAUGCCCCUCUUUAUCUCCGACGAUGAGCUCGCACGUCACUCCAACGACGUUUCGUACGUUGCGGCUAAGGCUGAUGAUUUCAUCAGAGGUUUACAAGCAGAGCUGGAGACCGUGAAGGCUGCGGCGGAUGCAGCCGCAAUCACGGCGGAGCAGACUUGCUCGCUACUCGAGCAGAAAUUCCUGUCUUUGUCGAGUGAAUUCUCGAAGCUCGAAUCUCAAAACGCACAACUUCAGUCGUCGCUGGAUGAUCGUCUAUCAGAGCUCGCUGAAGUCCAGGCUCAGAAGCAUCAGCUACAUUUGCAAUCUAUUGGAAAGGAUGGUGAGAUAGAGAGGAUGACAAUGGAGGUCUCAGAGCUGCAUAAGUCGAAGAGGCAGUUGAUUGAGUUGAUGGAGCUGAAGGAUUCCGAAAUUAGCGAGAAGAAUGCCACCAUCAGUAGCUACCUUGAUAGAAUAGUCAACUUGACUGACAAUAUGGCAGAGAAGGAGGCUCGAGUAAGUGAAGUUGAGGCAGACUUGGCACGUUCUGUGGCCAACUGUGCUCGUCUUUCACAGGAGAAAGAACUUAUUGAGAGGCAUAAUACUUGGUUAAAUGAGGAGUUGACUGCCAAAGUUGACAGUCUCAUCAAGCUGCGCAGAACACAUGCUGAUCUUAAUGAAGAAAUGUCUGCUAAGCUUGCAGAUUCAGAGAGACAACUCAAUGAAUGCUCUAGCUCUUUAAAGUGGCAUAAAGAAAGGGUGAAAGAGUUGGAAUUGAAGUUAACAUCCCUGCAAGAGGAAUUAUGCUCAUGCAAAGAUGCUGCUGCUGCCAAUGAGGAGCGAUUUUCUGCUGAAAUCUCAACAAUAAAUAAGCUUGUUGAGUUAUAUAAAGAAAGCUCUGAGGAAUGGUCCCGGAAGGCAGGAGAACUUGAGGGUGUGAUCAAAGCUCUGGAAACUCAUUUAAGUCAAGUUGAAAAUGAUUACAAAGAGAGACUUGAAAAGGCAGUGUCUGAAAGAAAUCAGUUAGAGAAGGACGCAACAGAUUUGAAGAAUAAACUUGAAAAGUGUGAGGCUGAGGUUGAAAGUAGCAGGAAAGCUAAUGAGCUGAAUAUUCUUCCACUUAGUAGUUUGACCACUGAAAGAUGGAAGGAUCCAUAUAAUUGUAGUGACACUGUUGAUGAUAACAACACCCUUGUGCCUAGGAUUCCAGUUGGUGUUUCAGGAACUGCAUUAGCAGCUUCUCUGCUUCGUGAUGGUUGGAGUCUGGCUAAGAUGUACGCAAAAUACCAAGAAGCAGUUGAUGCUCUUCGUCAUGAGCAAUUGGGGAGGAAGGAGUCUGAAGCAAUCCUACAGCGGGUCCUAUGUGAGCUAGAGGAGAAGGCUGGAAUAAUUUUGGAUGAAAGAGCUGAAUAUGAUAGAAUGGCAGAAUCAUACUCAGUCAUCAACCAAAAGUUGCAGCAUUCAAUUUCUGAGCAGGCCAAUCUAGAGAAAACAAUCCAAGAACUAAAGGUGGAUUUGAGGAGGCAUGAACGUGAGAACUACUUGGCCCAGAAGGAGAUUGUGGAUCUUCAGAAACAGGUGACAGUCCUUCUUAAGGAGUGUCGUGAUAUACAACUUUGUUGUGGAUCUAGUGGGCAUGAUGAGGCUGACGACAGUAACACAAUUGUUGCUGUUGGGAUGGAUGUGGAGUCUGAUGCUGAAAAAGUAAUUUCAGAACGGCUUUUGACCUUCAAUGAUAUAAAUGGAUUAGUUGAGCAGAAUGUUCAGCUUAGAAGCCUCGUGCGCGACCUUUCUGACCAGAUUGAAAAUAAGGAGAUGGAGUUCAAGGAAAAGUUUGAAAUGGAGCUCAAAAAACACACUGAUGAAGCUGCCUGCAAAGUGGCUGUGGUGUUGCAAAGGGCUGAAGAGCAAGUGCAAAUGAUUGAAUCUCUUCAUACUUCUGUUGCUAUGUACAAAAGGCUAUAUGAAGAAGAACAUAAACUUCAUUCAUCUUAUUCCCGCUCUUCAGAUGCUCCUCCAGUGGCAGAUGAUGGAAGGAAAGACCUCUUACUUCUGCUUGAAGGCUCUCAGGAAUCUGCCAAAGUGGCCCAAGAAAAGGCUACUGAACGAUUGAGAUCUCUUGAAGGGGAAUUGACAAAAUCAAGGAGUGAAAUCAUAUCACUGCGAUCAGAACGUGACAAAAUGGAUCUCGAUGCAAAAUUCGCAAAAGAAAGACUUGACAGUUAUUUGAAAAAACAUGAGCAGCAGGAAAAUGAAAUGAUUAGCAUCAAAGCAAGGAAUGCUGAGUUGACACAGUUGAUAGUUGACUUCCAAAGAAAAUUAUUUGAACGUUCAGAAGCAUUGCAAGCCUCUGAGGAGCUUUCUCGGAAGUUAAAUAUGGAGGUAUCAGUUCUUAAGCAUGAAAAAGAGAUGUUGUCAAAUGCUGAGAAAAGGGCUUGUGAUGAAGUUGGGAGUUUGUCACAGAGAGUCUAUCGCCUACAGGCUAGUUUGGAUACUAUUCAUAGCGCACAGGAGGUUCGCGAGGAGGCAAGAGCUGCCGAGAGGAGAAAACAAGAGGAGUAUAUUAAACAAGUUGAGAGGGAAUGGGCUGAGGCCAAGAAAGAGUUGGAACUAGAGCGGAACCAUGUCAGAGCUCUCACAUCUGAUCGUGAGGAAACUUUGAAAAAUGCUAUGAGGCAAGUUGAGGAAAUGGGAAAGGAAUUGGCAAAUGCCUUGCAUGCUGUUUCGGCUGCUGAGACUAGGGCUGCUGUUGCUGAGGCCAAACUUUCUGAAGUGGAGAAAAAGAUCAAAACUUCAAAUGUUAAGGUUGCUAACGUGGAUGAUGGCAGCAUACCUUCUUCUAUUUCAACUACUGAGGUUGUUACGGAUUUGUUAAUGGCUAAGGAGGAGAUUGAAAAGUUGAAAGAGGAAGCACAGGCCAAUAAGGAGCACAUGCUACAGUAUAAGAGUAUAGCACAGGUAAAUGAAGCUGCACUAAAACAGAUGGAAGGUGCUCAUGAAAACUUUAAGCAUGAGUCAGAAAAGUUGAAGGAUUCAUUAGAAGCUGAACUUCGUUCACUUAGAGAGAGAAUAUCGGAGCUUGACAAUGAAUUGAAGUUAAAAUCUGAAGAGGUAGCCUCUGCAGCUUCUGGAAAAGAAGAUGCUCUUACUUCUGCAUUGACUGAAAUUGCUUGUCUGAAGGAAGAAAACUCAAGUAAAAUCUCUCAAAUUAUGGCUCUGGAAACUCAAGUUUCUGCUUUAAAAGAAGAUUUGGAGAAGGAACAUCAGCGAUGGCGAUCUGCUCAAGCCAAUUAUGAAAGACAGGUGGUCCUGCAAUCUGAGACAAUUCAUGAGUUGACAAAAGCAUCACAAGCUUUGGCCUCAGUACAACAGGAAGCUUCUGAUCUGCGUAAAUUGACAGAUGCUCAGAAAAGUGAAAAUAAUGAGCUGAAGGCUAGGAGGGAGGUAGAGAAAUCAUUGCUGGAGGAAUUAAAAAAAGAAGCUGAGGAAAAAUCUAAUGAACUCAAUGAACAGAACAAAAUAUUGCAUAAUCGACUUGAGGCCUUGCACAUUCAGUUGGCUGAGAAGGAUCGCAAUUAUGUGGGUAUUUCUUCUGGAAGCAUUGUUCUAGAUUCCCAUGGUGAUAGUGGGAUGCAAAGUGUGAUUAACUAUCUUAGGAGAUCAAAGGAAAUAGCAGAAACUGAGAUUUCUUUGUUAAAACAGGAAAAGCUUCGAUUGCAAUCACAACUUGAGAAUGCUUUAAAAGCUGCAGAAAAUGCCCAGGCUUCACUACAUGCUGAGCGUGCAAAUUCAAGGGCAUUAUUAUUAUCAGAAGAAGAGAUUAAAUCCCUUCAACUUAAGGUUAGAGAAAUGAAUUUGUUGCGUGAAAGCAACGUGCAGCUGAGAGAGGAAAACAAGCAUAAUUUUGAAGAAUGCCUGAAAUUGCGUGAAGUAGCUCAGAAGGCUAAGGCUCAUUCUGACAAUCUAGAAUCUCUGCUGAGGGAAAGACAAAUUGAGGUAGAAGCUUGCAAGAAGGAAAUUGAAUUGGAAAGAAUGCAGAAAGGUCACCUGGAAAAGAGAGUUUCUGAGGUACUUGAGAGGUGUAGAAAUGUUGAUGUGGAAGAUUAUGAUCGAAUGAAGGAUGGCUUACAGCAAAUGCAGGAAAAAGUGAAAGAGAAAGAAUCUGAGAUUGAGGAAAUCAAUAACCUUUUAUCCAAACAGCAGGAGACUAUAUCGAAAUUGGAGCAAGACCUUGCAAAGAGUGAAUUAGAACUGAGUCAGAGGGAGCAAAAGAUAAAUGAUGUUUUGCUAAACGAGGCUAGUCUGAAAUCAGAGUUGGAGAAGCAGAGGAAGUUGGCAGUUCAGUGGAAGAAAAAGUUUGAAAAUUCAUUCAAGGAAAAGGAAGACUUCAGCAAGGAAAAACAAGCACUUUCCAAACAGAUCGAGGAGCUGAAACAAGGUAAAAGAUCCAUGGGAAUUGUCAGUGGUGAGCAGGUCAUGAAGGAAAAGGAGGAGAAGGAACACAGAAUACAGAUUCUGGAGAAAACUGUGGAGAGGCAGAGAGAGGAAUUGAGAAAGGAGAAGGAGGAUAAUCGGAUGGAAAAAGCAAAGCGUCUGACCACAGAGAAGGCCAUUAUGGAUAAAGUUAAAAAUGUUGAACAGGAAAAGACAGAGUUCACAAAUAAACUGGAGAGACAUAAGGAGGCUUUGAGGCGACUUUCUGAAGAACUAGAAAAGCUUAAGCAUGCUGAAACCAAUCUUCCAGAGGGUACCUCAGUGGUUCAGAUUCUUUCUGGGACAAUCCUAGAUGAUCUUUGUGCUGCUUAUGUAUUGGCUGUUGAAAAUUUUGAGAGGACUGCAACUUCUGUUUCUAUUGAGCUUGGAGCUAGUGCUGCUUCUUUAGACGCUUCUAUGCCUGACGCACCAGUUGCAGUUUUUGCAGGUCAGUCUGUUUCUUCUCACUCUGCCAUAAGUUCUUCAGUGGGCCCAAUAACAAGUUCCAUAGCCGCUAAGGCAGCAGACGACAAGGAGCGGCGAAUUCCAGUAUCCAAAACCAAUAUUGAAACUCGAAAAACAGGUAGGAAAUUGGUAAGGCCCCGGCUUGUUAAACCUGAUGAGCCUCAGGGUGAUGUAGAGAUGUCAGAUGUGGAUGGAUCCAACACACAAGGGAAGGUUGCUUCGUCUCAUGAAUCUGAAACUCAGCGCAAUCUUACCUCAUUGUCACAACCAUCAGCUCGCAAACGCCUAGCUUCAUCUGCUUCUGAGUUGAGUGAACAGCCCCUUGAUCAAGGGGAGACCAAUUCUGAUGCAGGAGCACCUGUGGUAAAGAAACCCAAAGGUUCUGAUUCUUCACAUGAGGGUACUGAAGGUCAAUCUGUUGCUCCUUCAGAAACUAUGGUGAUCCCAUCAGCAGUUGAGGAAGCAUCAAAUGCUGUUGGUGAUGUAACUCAAGGUUCAAAUGAGGAAGUUAUUGCUGAGAAGGACGAGGCUGAGACUGGUGGAGAGAAAAGUGAGCUGCCAAAAGACUCGGAGCAAAUAGAUGAUCCCAUUGAACCACAGAAUGAGAAGAUUAAUGUUGGAGAAGAGAGUGUCGACAAAACUAAUGGAAUUGGAGGAGAGUUUGAUGGCAAUUCAAAGGAUCAGGCUGUGGAAGAUAACCAGCAAUCUAUUGUGGAGUUUGAGAGUGAAAAGGAAGAGGGAGAACUAGUGCCUGAUGAUGCAGAAGCUGAGGAAGGCGCUGAUACGUCUAACAUAAUGGGGAGUCCAGAAAUUGGGGAGGUACCUGAGGUUGGCACUACUCCUGUUGCUUCACCAGCAAGGAUUGAGGAUGAAGCUGUAGUUGCUGGAGGAGUUGAGUUGGGUGAGAUGAAUUCUCCUGAGGCUUUUAAUGAGGAGAAGAAUGAUGAAGGUGAUGUGGCUGAGGAGACUAUUGAAGGUUCUGACAAGUCAAAUGAUGGUAAUGAUCAGAUUGCAGGGGAGAGUGAUCAGAUUCCUGAAACUGCUUCAGUAACUGUUGAGAGUACAACAGCCACUGUGAAUGCAGAAGCUGCUGAUGUCUCAAAACAAGUAACAGAGACUGGAGAGGUUAAACAAGUAUCGCCUGCAAGUAAUUCCUCAACUGUUGUGAAUUUAGCGGAGAGAGCGAAGGAAAGGGCUAUGCUUAGACAAUCUGGAACUGCAGUGCUUUCUCCUCCAGGCAGUAGAGGCCGUGGACGAGCAGUACGUGGUCGAGCUGUACGUGGUGCACGUGGUGGACGAACUGGACGUGGGCAUACUCCCGGUCAACAGGGAUGAGUGUUGUUAAUACAAACCGUGUUGAUGACCCUUGUUUUAAGAAAACAUUUUUGCUCUGGAGAAGUUUGUACUUCAUAUGCAUUAUUAAAUUUGUCUAUGGAUAGAAAUGAAAAAUUUACAGGAAGCAGUGUCAUUUUGUUAUCAAUAACCUCUUCCUUCCUAUCUUUCAAUGUUUUUCUAGCUGAUAGAUAAAAAUAAGUAGCUGCCAGUGGAAAUAAUACCAACCCCAUGCUACUGAUCUCAGAUUGUGAUUGUAAUUUUCCUUUUCGCUAUAUAUUAUUCAAUUUCGAUUCAGCAUUAACUCUUUGCAUUUACAUAGGGAAUAAGUGUCGAAUCAUUGAGGUGUA
rnacentral:misc_RNA from 1 species